GGCUACAGAAAUUUUAAUGGGAAGGAAGAGAACUCCUUCUUUGUUGGAUAAAGUUAUUGCCUUUGCUAGAUUCCACUUAGCCAGGGAACAAGAAUUUCUGGUUAUUUUGUGCACCUAGUCCUUUCAAGUACUGUGAUAAAUACAAAAAGGAUAAGUCAGAGUUUCUUCCUUCUUUGGGCUGUUAUUUAACCAGACGAGCAGACUGAGUGACACACACAGGAAUAAUGAGGCUAAGGCUGAGAUGUCAAUUGUAAUUUCUGAGAUGGUUUAGAAAAUGUUGAGAUCUAUAAAGAUUGAAAUACUGGAAAAAGUUUUCAUAGAGGAAGUAAGUUUGGAUGAAAUGAGACGAUGUCUUAAAGUAAAUAUUAAGUGUAAUAACACUUCUUUACUGGCUUCGUUUCUUGGAGAUAAAAUAUUGAUUUUCAUUUUUCAAAUAUUAAUUGUAACUAAAUUUGUUACAACAACAAAGACUUAUAAUUGGUGUACUGCUUUUUGAAUUCUAGCUUAUUUCAAUUCUAAAAUUAACUUCUGUAAAGAAUGCUGUUGGAAUCAAAGUCUUUUUAGAAACAUUUCUUCUCCAUCCCUUAAUACGAAAAGUAUGAAUUUUUAUUAGUUUUGACUGAAUUACAGUUUAUUUUUGCUUGAGACUAAACAUCAGCUUUGUAAUAGUACGUGCUGUGUCUUCUGCCAAUGGGUGAUGCAUGUGUCAUUCCACAGACUUAGUUUGAAGUGUGGACCUGGUUUUCUCUGACAAAAUAGGGUGUUUUUGAGGCAGAUUUGGAAUUUGGAAUCUCUCCUCUGGCAGCCUCACCUGUGUGUCAGCCAAAGUACACUGGCUGUCGCCCCUCUUGAAAGGAUAGGAUUCCGGUGUUAGGUCCAUAAUUUCUUCCACGCAUUAUGAUACGGCCUCUGCUCUACAGGACUUCAGAGAUUUGUGGGAGAAUCAGACAGGAGAGCAGAUAAGUUAUGAUUUGGCACAGUGAACUCCGUGACAAUGACAGUCCCGGCAUGCUCUCAAGGCACAGUGGUGGAAGAAUGUGGUUUCUGUGAAGAUUAGCUUUUGUCCAGUCUUGCUGCCAGAGAACUCUCAAUAGAUGCUCAAGGGACCAAAUGUCUCACCAUUUGAAAAAGAAAAUUAACAAGGGAAAAAAGUAUUGUCUCCCCGCCCUCCAAAAAAGAGCCAUCUAUCCAAACAAAAACCCCAAACACCCAAAAGAUUGAAAUUGCUUAUUAUCUUGGGUGUUUUCAUCAAGUCUUAUUUUGUUGAAGACUUUAAAUAAAAGGCUUUGGGACACGUAGGCAGAGAAAGUACAGAUAAAAGACUAUGGUGGGACCUAUGGACAGUGAUCGAAUGUGUUACUUUCUCAUAAGGCAAGUUUUUACAACAAUCUAAAAUCAUGAGUGGGCACGUGUGUAUACACUCACCCACACACACCCACGCUGGGAAUCUCCCUCGCAUUGUUCCAGAGAGUUCCGACUUUGCUUUCAGAGGCCAUGGGAGCCAGAGAGUCCUGGAUGAGUCAUCCUGUUUUGCUUG